UGCAGAUUAGCACAGUGGUUUGAGUGUGGAUCUAACCUUUGUCUGGGUUCAAAGCCCAGAUCCAGCAA
rnacentral:tRNA from 1 species